AUGUUCAACAAGAAGCAUGAUGUCCUUCAUCAGAUCAGCGCCUUCGAUCAGACCAACAUUAGAAGGAUGAUAACUGUGGCAACUGACAUUGGGACGAGCGUCACAUCAUAUUCGAAUUCCAAGCUCCGACCAGAUGCGGAUGUAUGCUAUGCCCGCCGCAAGCAACCAGAAUGCACUGAGAAAAUAAAUAACCAACCAGCAGACGUCACCAAUCAAAAUCAAAGCCCUGAGCAUCACACAGAAGCAAGGUUAGGUGCAGUGCAUGCAUCGUCAUCAUCAGCAGCUCUAUCAUGGAUGUCAGGACACCACACCGUGUCCUCGAUCCAAUCGACUUUGCAAAGCACAUUCCCAGCCGAUACCCAAGUUUGGUAA
rnacentral:rRNA from 1 species